rnacentral:rRNA from 1 species
GACGAACGCUGGCGGCGUGCCUAAUACAUGCAAGUUGAGCGCUGAAGGUUGGUACUUGUACCAACUGGAUGAGCAGCGAACGGGUGAGUAACGCGUGGGGAAUCUGCCUUUGAGCGGGGGACAAUAUUUGGAAACGAAUGCUAAUACCGCAUAAAAACUUUAAACACAAGUUUUAAGUUUGAAAGAUGCAAUUGCAUCACUCAAAGAUGAUCCCGCGUUGUAUUAGCUAGUUGGUGAGGUAAAGGCUCACCAAGGCGAUGAUACAUAGCCGACCUGAGAGGGUGAUCGGCAACAUGGGGACUGAGACACGGCCAAACUCCUACGGGAGGCAGCAGUAGGGAAUCUUCGGCAAUGGACGAAAGUCUGACCGAGCAACGCCGCGUGAGUGAAGAAGGUUUUCGGAUCGUAAAACUCUGUUGGUAGAGAAGAACGUUGGUGAGAGUGGAAAGCUCAUCAAGUGACGGUAACUACCCAGAAAGGGACGGCUAACUACGUG